CAGCCGCCGCGGUAAAACGGAGGGUGCAAGCGUUACUCGGAAUCACUGGGCGUAAAGGACGCGUAGGCGGAUUAUCAAGUCUCUUGUGAAAUCUAACGGCUUAACCGUUAAACUGCUUGGGAAACUGAUAAUCUAGAGUAAGGGAGAGGCAGAUGGAAUUCUUGGUGUAGGGGUAAAAUCCGUAGAGAUCAAGAAGAAUACCCAUUGCGAAAGCGAUCUGCUGGAACUUAACUGACGCUAAUGCGUGAAAGCGUGGGGAGCAAACAGGAUUAGAUACCCCCGUAGUCCCUGUCUCUUAUAC
rnacentral:rRNA from 1 species